rnacentral:rRNA from 1 species
UGGGGAAUUUUGGACAAUGGGCGCAAGCCUGAUCCAGCCAUGCCGCGUGCGGGAAGAAGGCCUUCGGGUUGUAAACCGCUUUUGUCAGGGAAGAAAUCUUCUGAGUUAAUACCUCGGGAGGAUGACGGUACCUGAAGAAUAAGCACCGGCUAACUACGUGCCAGCAGCCGCGGUAAUACGUAGGGUGCAAGCGUUAAUCGGAAUUACUGGGCGUAAAGCGUGCGCAGGCGGUUUUGUAAGACAGAGGUGAAAUCCCCGGGCUCAACCUGGGAACUGCCUUUGUGACUGCAAGGCUUGAGUGCGGCAGAGGGGGAUGGAAUUCCGCGUGUAGCAGUGAAAUGCGUAGAUAUGCGGAGGAACACCGAUGGCGAAGGCAAUCCCCUGGGCCUGCACUGACGCCCAUGCACGAAAGCGUGGGGAGCAAACAGGAUUAGAUACCCUGGUAGUCCACGCCCUAAACGAUGUCAAACUGGUUGUUGGGAAGGUUCCUUCUCAGUAACCGUAGCUAACGCGUGAAGUUGGACCGCCUGGGGAGUACGGCCGCAAGGUUGAAACUCAAAGAAUUGACGGGGUCAUAGCUGUUUCCU